rnacentral:rRNA from 1 species
UACGAAGGGGGCGAGCGUUGUUCGGAUUUACUGGGCGUAAAGCGUGCGUAGGCGGUUCGUUAAGUCUGUUGUGAAAGCCCCGGGCUCAACCUGGGAAUGGCAAUGGAUACUGGCGAGCUAGAGUGUGUCAGAGGAUGGUGGAAUUCCCGGUGUAGCGGUGAAAUGCGUAGGAGAUCGGGAGGAACAUCAGUGGCGGAAGGCGGCCCCUUGGACCGUGUACUGACGCUCAUGCACGAAAGCGUGGGGAGC